CAAUGUGGCCAGAUCUCAGAAGCUAAGCAGGGCCGGGCCUGGUCAUUACUUGGGUGGGAGACCGCUGGGAAUACUCGGUGUCACAGUGA
rnacentral:rRNA from 1 species